rnacentral:rRNA from 1 species
UACGUAGGGUGCAAGCGUUGUCCGGAAUUAUUGGGCGUAAAGGAGCUCGUAGGCGGUCUGUCGCGUCUGCUGUGAAAACCUCGGGGCUUAACCCCGGGCCUGGCAGUGGGUACGGGCAGACUAGAGUGCGGUAGGGGAGACUGGAAUUCCUGGUGUAGCGGUGAAAUGCGCAGAUAUCAGGAGGAACACCGGUGGCGAAGGCGGGUCUCUGGGCCGUAACUGACGCUGAGGAGCGAAAGCAUGGGGAGCGAACAGG